GGAGAGGUGGCUCAGAGGUUAAGAGCACUGGUUGUUCUUCCAGAGGUUCUGAGUUCAAUUCCCAGCAACUACA
rnacentral:tRNA from 1 species